rnacentral:rRNA from 1 species
UACAGAGGUCUCAAGCGUUGUUCGGAUUCAUUGGGCGUAAAGGGUGUGUAGGUGGCGCCGUAAGUCGGGUGUGAAAUUUCGGAGCUUAACUCCGAAACUGCAUUCGAUACUGCGGUGCUUGAGGACUGGAGAGGAGACUGGAAUUUACGGUGUAGCGGUGAAAUGCGUAGAUAUCGUAAGGAAGACCAGUGGCGAAGGCGGGUCUCUGGGCAGUAACUGACGUGAGGAACGAAAGCGUGGGUAGCAAACAGG